AGUAAAAUGGCUGAUUUAAGCGAUAAAUUGUAAAUUUAUUUAUAAAGUAAUUUUUUUUUACU
rnacentral:tRNA from 1 species